CCCGGUCACCGAAAGAUCAUCAUAAGCUACCACACCUCGCGACGCGCGCGAGAGGAAUAUCGCAAUCGUCAUGGCGAUGUCGCCGCUGCCAUGUCUCGUCCUCAACUACGGCGACAAGCGGCCGAUGAUGCUGUACGGGGCCUCCGACGGCGAGUAGCGACCGUGCGGGAUCGGCCCGCUGCUAGCCAAGCGGAACUGGGUCACCGCGCAGGGCUGGGUGCUGGCCUGGGACCCUGACACCUCCGCCACCUUCCUCUGGGACCCGCAGGAUCCGGAGCACGGCCGGGUCGCGUUGCCGUCGAUGGUGCAAGCUCCGCCCGAGGGCUCCGGCUGCACACUGUCAGGCGAUCCCACGGCUCCCGGCGGCUGCACGGUGGUCCUGGCCGAGCCAUAUGAAAGCACCGUCCUAUGGUAUUGCCACGUCGGUUCGGCGACGCCGGAGUGGGUAAGGUACGAGUACGAUCUUGGAGGCAAGUUGGUGGUGCUCGGCGAGUACCGGGAGUGGAUAAAAGAGCACGCCUACGGUCUGACGCCGCACGGUGGAAAGUUUUACUAUACAAUCAACAGUACCAAGUACGGCGUGCUCGAGUUCUCACCGGAGCCGACGUGGAGCACCGUGAAGACGAAGGGGGUCGAACUUACCUAUCAUCCAAGCGGGGAUGGACGUGUGCAUUAUGAAAGCUUUCUCCUGGACCUGGACGGCAAGCUUCACACGGUGUGGAUCUUCUUUGCGGGCUUCGAUUUGCGCACUGUCAAUGAUGUUGCCAUCUAUAAGAUGGGUUUUGGUAGAUCAAGGUGUGUCAAGGUGAACGACAUUGGCGGUCGGGCAAUACUUGCGGGCUCGAGUCGUGCAUCGUGGUGUCCGGCCAACAAGUUUAGGUUGCGUCCCAACACCUUGUAUUGGAUGAGCCCUCACGACAAAUGCUUACACAUGUACAACAUUGGAUCAAACAAGGAGGUGGUGCAGGAGUGCGAAGGUGCCACGGAGCUAUUGCGCCUGCCGUAUUGGUUGGUUCCCGUAAAUCGUCCAUGAACAGAUCAUAUCACUUUGCCAACUUUAUUUUAAUGAAACCAGUAAAGUAUUAGUGGUUGGCGAAGUAAAAUAAGAUGGACUAUGCAACUAUUGUGACAUCCAGAACUAUGUUAGUUGGGAGAACAUGAGCGUUCUCAGAGCUCAGCGACAUCUGGCCGUCCAUCUCAUUUUCUGAUGCGAUUCCGUCCGUCGGAUCGAGCCUCCGGACGAUCUGGGCCGCCGGAUCGAGAGGAGACACUGCUACAAUGAAUAGUAGUCAAAAACGCGUGCCACCGCGUGCAAUUCCGGUGCCCCGCCGGGGGCAUUUCUGUCAUUUCGCAUGACUGGGAAAAUAUCCCAUAGCGGCAGGUGUGAGCGCCUGGUCGUCGCUCUCCCCGUAGACCCGCACUCGUGCCGCGCCCCUCUCCUCUCCCUGCCGCCUCGCCUCUCUCCCUCCCUCCAAACCCUAGCCCCGCCCGCACCUCCCUGCCCCGCCGCCGUCCAGUUCCAGCCCCUGCCCCGUCGAGCGGCCCAUGGCGGUGCCGGAUCCGGUGUCGGGGUCGAGGCGCGCUGCCCGUGCGUGGGGAGAGGCACCCGGACCUCGCGUGGCCCGGAGUUGUACGACGGCGUAGGGCGUGGGUCGUCUCCCUUAUCCUGCGUCGUCGCCUGCCUCUUCUCCUCCCCUCCUCCUUUCGUUUCGUUGCUCAAUCCUCUCUGUAGUCCUCCUCCCUGGUCCAUGAGUCGUCGCUGGGUUGGUUGCCGAGGGGCUCCGAUGGCGGCGCGCUGGGGUGACGUCAGUUAAGGUCCAUUGUUGUCCUCUUCAUUUGGCCUAGAUUUGCUGUGCCGCUGGUCGAUCUAUGCUGGUCUUCGCGUUUUCAUCAGGAAACUACAGCUUGUUUCAGUUACAACUGAGUUCUUGGGUUCCACUUUGUUGUUGGAAACUACUUACUGGUGGAGCUGCUGCUCGGUUCAUAGGUAUUUGCAUAUAUGUGUGCUCAUUGUUGAUGAUGGCUCGCCGUCGGAGUGUUUUGCAUGCUCCUGUUGUUGGUGUUUGUGGUAUUCGUAAGAGAAAGGGUAUGUUGUCUAUAUGGUCAUUUCCUUAGGAUUUUUUUGGCUUGCAUCUGUUCAUUUGUGUCGGUUCUGUCGUUUUCUAGGGGAUGCCUGGUUCCCAGUGCUCACUCCUGCCAUGUCGGCUAGAAAUCGGAAGAGGCGUAAAUUACUUAGGGGCCUUCGUUGCCAUGGUGUUACAUGUACUGGUCUUCUUGGUCGGGGUUCCUGUCUUUCCGUCCUUAGUAUCUUUGUUUUGGUUGUUGUUUCUCAUAACAACAUGCAUGUAGAUCUUCGGUUUGAAGGGGACUUGCCAACUGAUUGGACUGGUUUUCCUGUCGAGGUAGUUGACAAUCGCAAAGGUACUAACUAUUAGGUUGAUGUUAGUUUGUUUUUUCCUUUUCCUGUCAUGACGGCCUCCUUGAGUAUUGUGUUUUCUGUAGUUUCCUAUAAGGACAUAUCUUACUAUGGUCCUCCUGAGUACCAGUGCCCUCACUGCAAGGCUUCUUUUUGGUUUGAGGAGAGGGCCAAUCCAUAUUCUUCAUGGGUGCUACGUAAAAUUGUUUAUAACCUUUGUUGCAAAGGUGGAAAAGUCAUUGUUAAACCUUUCAGAAACCCUCCUGCUUUAUUGAGUCGUUUAUUAUCCUGUCAUGGUGACCGUGUUUCCAAGCAAUUCCUGACAAAGAUACGGCAUCACAGUUGGACGUUUGCAUUUACGUCUAUUGUGGCGACGUCAUUCGUUCGCUGGAAGGCACGCGGGGGUUAAUAUCUUCAAAAUUUGUGGUCAGGUCCAUCAUCUUAUUGGUUCUCUUUUGCCGAUGAAAACGAUUGUGCCAUCCAGCCAUACCAUUGGUCGGCGUUACUACCAGGAGAACUUUCAGGAUGGUCUUACAAUUUGUCGAGUGGAUGAGGCCCCUGAUACUUUUACUAUUUUUACAUGUAGUCCAAUGUGGCUUGAGAUUACUAAGGUGAAGCUUAACGAAUAUCUAGAUGAAAUCCAGUCAGGCCAUGCCUAUGGUCCUAUAAACGCUGUUCUGUACACCGUGGAGUUUCAGAAGUUCCUGGUAUUCCUGUGGAAGUAUGUUUUUAGACCAGUGGAAGGUCAUUUAAUGAUUAAGUUUACAAAGCGCACUGAACUUGUGGAGAGAACUGGAAUGGAAGCAGAGUUCCCCUUCUAUGUCAUUGGAGUGAUUACUGGAAUCUCUGAAGCUGUUCAGUAUGUUAGUGCAAAAUCUCAGUGCGUUCUUUUUAAAGACAAAGCAGUUUGUUGACACAGACAAAGAGAGCUUGACUGAUCAGUUAAUGAGUCUGUCGCUGAAAAGGACAAUUCACCACAGCUUGGCAGUUCCAUGGAGAAAGAUAACUUACCGUUGCCUGAUCAGACCUCCGAUGCAAAAAGGCCCCAACCAUCUGUCCCUGUCGAUGCUCGAAGCAAUCCGAGCAAGCGAGGCAGAUAUAAGUAGAAACAUCGCCUGGUAGGCGAGGCAUCUUUUGGAGACCCAAGACUUUUUGUUAACGUUGCUGUAAAUGGACGGUUUCUUAUUAGUAUGCCUGUACGAGCGAUUCCCGUGCUUGAGCUUCGGCUCGUAGGCACUUACCGCCACAUCACUUGGUUGCUUAUGGGCAACAAUGGCAGCUAUCACAAUCAUGUUUCUGUCCAUCCGGACUAUCAGGCUACUUGGCUAGAAGCUGUAUUUUUGUCAGGACUGCAGGGUAUGAGAUCGAUGUAUACAUGCAUGCCCUAGACUCGGUGCCCCGGAGUGAAAUGGGAGUCGAAUGGCUAGACAUGCCAUACCCUGCGAAGCGCUUUUAGCCCUUUUAUUUCAGUUUCAGUCAUGGCGAUAUCCGUAUUUAGAGGCUAGCAAGUAAUUCAUGCCAAGGUUAUUUCCUUUGUAAAUAUAUGGGCGAUUUUUACACUCUCCUUUAAACUUAAUCAAUACCAGGACUGUACUUCAGAAUCUGAUUUAUAAGUGUUCCAUCUA